rnacentral:rRNA from 1 species
GUCUACAGGCCAUGCUGCCCUGAACAAGCCCAAUCCCAUCUGAUCUCGUGAAGCUAAGCAGGGUUGGGCCUGGUUAGUACUUGGAUGAGAGACCACCUAGGAAGACCAGGUACUGUAGGUG